AACUCUGUGCAAUGGAGCACACGGCUCGUGUAUCGAUGAAGCCCGCGGCAAAAAGCGAUAUGUAAUGAGAUUCGUUAGC
rnacentral:rRNA from 1 species